rnacentral:rRNA from 1 species
ACAUGUGGAGCGCUUAGAAGUGAGAAUGCCGGUGUGAGUAGCGAAAGAUGGGUGAGAAUCCCGUCCACCGAUUGACUAAGGUUUCCAGAGGAAGGCUCGUCCGCUCUGGGUUAGUCGGGUCCUAAGCUGAGGCCGACAGGCGUAGGCGAUGGAUAACAGGUUGAUAUUCCUGUACCACCUAUAAUCGUUUUAAUCGAUGGGGGGACGCAGUAGGAUAGGCGAAGCGUGCGAUUGGAUUGCACGUCUAAGCAGUAAGGCUGAGUAUUAGGCAAAUCCGGUACUCGUUAAGGCUGAGCUGUGAUGGGGAGAAGACAUUGUGUCUUCGAGUCGUUGAUUUCACACUGCCGAGAAAAGCCUCUAGAUAGAAAAUAGGUGCCCGUACCGCAAACCGACACAGGUAGUCAAGAUGAGAAUUCUAAGGUGAGCGAGCGAACUCUCGUUAAGGAACUCGGCAAAAUGACCCCGUAACUUCGGGAGAAGGGGUGCUCUUUAGGGUUAACGCCCAGAAGAGCCGCAGUGAAUAGGCCCAAGCGACUGUUUAUCAAAAACACAGGUCUCUGCUAAACCGUAAGGUGAUGUAUAGGGGCUGACGCCUGCCCGGUGCUGGAAGGUUAAGAGGAGUGGUUAGCUUCUGCGAAGCUACGAAUCGAAGCCCCAGUAAACGGCGGCCGUAACUAUAACGGUCCUAAGGUAGCGAAAUUCCUUGUCGGGUAAGUUCCGACCCGCACGAAAGGCGUAACGAUUUGGGCACUGUCUCAACGAGAGACUCGGUGAAAUCAUAGUACCUGUGAAGAUGCAGGUUACCCGCGACAGGACGGAAAGACCCCGUGGAGCUUUACUGUAGCCUGAUAUUGAAAUUCGGCACAGCUUGUACAGGAUAGGUAGGAGCCUUUGAAACGUGAGCGCUAGCUUACGUGGAGGCGCUGGUGGGAUACUACCCUAGCUGUGUUGGCUUUCUAACCCGCACCACUUAUCGUGGUGGGAGACAGUGUCAGGCGGGCAGUUUGACUGGGGCGGUCGCCUCCUAAAAGG